UACGUAGGGGGCAAGCGUUGUCCGGAAUCAUUGGGCGUAAAGAGCGUGUAGGCGGCUCGGUAAGUCUGCUGUGAAAGUCCAGGGCUCAACCCUGGAAUGCCGGUGGAAACUGUCGAGCUAGAGUCCGGAAGAGGCGAGUGGAAUUCCUGGUGUAGCGGUGAAAUGCGCAGAUAUCAGGAGGAACACCGAUGGCGAAGGCAGCUCGCUGGGACGGUGACUGACGCUGAGACGCGAAAGCGUGGGGAGCAAACAGG
rnacentral:rRNA from 1 species